rnacentral:rRNA from 1 species
UGAAUACGAGACGCUACGGCGUCGAAGCAGUCUAUGUCAUACUUCCAAGAAAAGCUUGCACUGUCAUAAACAAAUAAUGCCUGUACCAUAACCGACACAGGUGGGUAGGUAGAGUAUACUAAGGGGCGCGAGAUAACUCUCUCUAAGGAACUCGGCAAAAUGACUCCGUAACUUCGGGAGAAGGAGUGCCUUAUUUAUAAGGUUGCAAUAACAAGAUCCAAGCAACUGUUUAUCAAAAACACAGGUCUCCGCUAAGUCGUAAGACGAUGUAUGGGGGCUGACGCCUGCCCAGUGCCAGAAGGUUAAAGAAGUUGGUUAGCAUUAGCGAAGCUGAUAACUGAAGCCCUGGUGAACGGCGGCCGUAACGAUAACGGUCCUAAGGUAGCGAAAUUCCUUGUCGGGUAAGUUCCGACCCGCACGAAAGGCGUAAUGAUUUGGAUACUGUCUCAGAGAGGGGCUCGGUGAAAUAGACUUGUCUGUGAAGAUGCGGACUACCUGCACCAGGACAGAAAGACCCUAUGAAGCUUUACUGUAACUUGAAAUUGAAAUUGGACUUUAUUUGCGCAGUAUAGGUGGGAGGCAUUGAUAAUAUUCUUGCGGGAAUGUUGGAGCCAUCAGUGAGAUACCACUCUUGUAAUGUUAGAUUUCUAACUUUGCAUCAUUAUCUGGUCAAAGGACAGUUUCAGGCGGGCAGUUUGACUGGGGCGGUCGCCUCCUAAAUGGUAACGGAGGCACACAAAGGUUUCCUCUGAACGGGUAGAAAUCGUAUCUAGAGUGUAAAGGCAUAAGGAAGCUUGACUGUGAGACCUACAAGUCGAGCAGGGACGAAAGUCGGUCUUAGUGAUCUGACGGUGCUGAGUGGAAAGGCCGUCACUCAACGGAUAAAAGUUACUCUAAGGAUAACAGGCUGAUCUCCCCCAAGAGUUCACAUCGACGGGGAGGUUUGGCACCUCGAUGUCGGCUCAUCGCAUCCUGGGGCGGUAGUACGUCCCAAGGGUUGGGCUGUUCGCCCAUGAAAGCGGUACGCGAGCUGGGUUCAGAACGUCGUGAGACAGUUCGGUCCAUAUCCGGUGUAGGCGUUAGAAUAUUGAGAGGAGCCUUCUUUAGUACGAGAGGACCGAGAAGGACAUACCUCUGGUGUACCAGUUAUCGUGCCAACGGUAAACGCUGGGUAGCUAUGUAUGGAGAGGAUAACCGCUGAAAGCAUCUAAGUGGGAAGCCCACCUCAAGAUAAGUAUUCUC